AGAGGUUGCAGCCAGUCUGCCCUGUAGCUGUAUUGCCGGAUGGAUGGACCGGUUGCUUACAACACGGUCCAAUGGCCUAAUGCUUACGUCGAGAUUUGUUGCACACGGUGGAAUCUGGGAGCAUCACUCUCCUUGAGUGGAAUCACAGUGGCCAGAUUAUAGAUCGCACAAGCUGUUGGUGAUCUUUUCCUUUUGAUUUCUAAAUCUCUGGGUUAUAGGUCAACUCCCACUUUGUAGACUUUAUCUUUUGUGGCUCCAGAAAUUCUUUAUUCACCUGUAUGCUUUCUUUUGCAAGUUGCAUUCGCAACCUCUAAUAGCAAAUUAAUGAGUACAUGAUCUGGUUCUGCUUUAGUACCCUCAAAUUGUACAUUCACUUAGAUGCCUAUUGAAUAAUGAUUGCUUCAUCUUCUUAUAUCAUUUGCCUUUCAAAUUGUGCUUCACAAAUAGUAGUAAAAAAAGACUACCAUUUACUCAGACCAUGCUUUCAAUUCCACGCCUACUGACUAAUGAUUGCUUCUUCAGGCAUGGAAAUCCCUGUGCUGGCGGUGCUUGCAAAUAUUUAAAGCCAUUCAAUAUGUGAUGUAAGGUGCAGGGGAGUAUGCACGUCCCCAUUGGCAGAGAUCCCCGCUUUUGAACUUUUUGGUUUAAAAUUCAGAUCUCUCGAGUUCAGUAAAAUUCAGUGGUAAAGAAAGUCAUACGAUGUACAAUUUUUUAGUAUAAAUCUUUGUUGGAAAAAAAUCAGUUAGUACAGAAGGAAUAUAUCGUGCUUUUUGUUAUAACAAUGUUUAUGGUAUUUUGUUGCAGAGAAUAAAGGGGUUGUAAGAUAUGUGGCAUAACGCAAUACAUAUAACAAACAAUGAAAUCUUGGCUAAAGAGUUGAGACACAUGUAUGUAGACUUAUUUUCUUCCCUGUAGAAUAAUAGCUUUUAUAAGCUAAUAAGGAUGUUAGAUUCAUAUGAGAUUACCUUUUGGCCAGAUUUUAAUGAUUUAUAUUUUCCUGUGUUUUUCUCUCGGUUAUGAUUGCUCCUCCCAAUUGCAUUGAUGAUUAUAGGUGAAAUGAAAUUAAACGCUAGGUUGUGUGAAACGACAAUGAUGGAUUCAUUGCUGUAGUUGAUGUGAAGUUCAUCAAGUGGUAGUCUAAUGUGAUUUAUCCUCCAUAUACAUGUCAACUAACUCUCCUAUUUCAUAGCAUAGACAUUCUGCUGUACACUGCAGUAUAUUGCUUCUGUCAAACUGAAAAACAUACAUACUUCAAUAAAAAAUAAUUUCCAGUGACUCCAGUAUCAGGUGAAAUCUUGAUUCCAUAGUUGGGUGUGGCUUGAAAACUCAUUCAUGAAUAGCAGUAUAUUUACUAUUGGAAAGAUUACAAUGGAUUGUACAUUUCCUCAAGCUAUAGUGCGACGGCUACUUCUCAUCGGAAUUCCUGCUGGAAGCAUAAAGUUCAGUACUGGUGAAAAGGUUUCUUGGUACUGAUCUGAGUAUUAUUUUUGCAGUUUUUUAGCCGUGGUGUAUGAGGCUUGAAGGCUUCUUCACAAGAUUGUAGAAGGGCCUGAAUUUAUUAAUGAUAGAAAUUAAAUGCUCCCAUAAUUGUUCAAGGAUUCCUCCGUAGUAUCAUUGCUCUCAGAGCUAAGAACCUUACUUUGUUAUUGAAGUGAGAAUGUUUUAUCUCUUGAAUUAAUGCCGAUGAAGAAUUGUAAUUCUGAUAUUAUUUAUAAAUGCAUUCGAAGAUUAUCUAUUAAUGAAAUUGGUGGACUUCUGCUUC